rnacentral:rRNA from 1 species
AACGUAGGACACAAGCGUUAUCCGGAGUUACUGGGCGUAAAGGGCGCGUAGGCGGCCUGCUAAGUCGGACGUGAAAUCCCUCGGCUCAACCGAGGAACUGCGUCCGAUACUGGUGGGCUUGAAUCCGGGAGAGGGGAUGCAGAAUUCCAAGGUGUAGCGGUGAAAUGCGUAGAUAUCUGGAGGAAUACCGGUGGCGAAGGCGACUACCCUGGCCUGUUCUUUGACGCUGAGGCGCGAAAGCUAGGGGAGCA